UGCUUUGAAGAUCACUGUGUUCGCUUAAUUAGAUAAUAACAGCCAAAAAAAGUUGUAGUGCUCGUAUUGCUACCCCCAUUUCAUUUCUAGCCGAUCUGCUCGUAUUUCUAUUAGUUUUCCCAGAUUUUCACCCCUUUUCCCUUCGUGUUUUAUAGUUUCUUUAGAUCAGUUCCUGUGGACAAAGCGCAUGAAAUGCAGCGUGCGAACAAUUGAUUAAUACAUAGAGUAAUCUUUUCUUCAAACACGUUGAAUAGUUCCUCUGGGCCUAAAAAACUUCAGCAACGAGAUGUCAUUGGCGUCUUGACACAAAUUGAUCCGCUACAUCUAGUUGGUUUCAACAGCUCAAGCCUUACCAGAGACAUCUUCAUAACAAAUACAAG